UUUCCUUUAGCUUACCUUUAAAGCGUUAGUUUGAAGCACUGAAGAUAGUUUAUAACUAGGGAGGC
rnacentral:tRNA from 1 species